AAAAUGCGAUAAGUAGUGUGAAUUGCAGAAUUUAGCGAAUCAUCGAAUCUUUGAACGCACAUUGCGCCCCUUGGUAUUCCAUGGGGCAUGCCUGUUCGAGCGUCAUUUCAACCCUCAAGCACUGCUUGGUGUUGGGCGUUUGUCCCGCCUACGCGCGUGGACUCGCCUCAAAGUCAUUGGCAGCUGUUCCCCUUCGGCUCGUAAGCGCAGCACAGUCGGCGCCCGGAGCUCUGGUGGGAUGGCGUCCAGCAAGCUAUAUUUUCAGGCUUGACCUCGGAUCAGGUAGGGAUACCCGCUGCACUUAAGC
rnacentral:misc_RNA from 1 species